UAACUUAAAUAGAUAUACAGA
rnacentral:piRNA from 1 species